GACGAACGCUGGCGGCGUGCUUAACACAUGCAAGUCGAACGGAUAGGCCUUGCUUUUGCCGUUUGCUCGAGUGUCGAACGGGUGAGUAACACGUGAGUAACCUGCCCUUUACUUUGGGAUAACUUCAGGACACUGGGGCUAAUACCGGAUAGGAGCUCUUGCUGCAUGGUGGGUGUUGGAACGUUUCGGCUGUUCGGGAUGGACUCGCGGCUUAUCAGCUUAUUGGUGGGGUAGUGGCUUACCAAGGCUUUGACGGGUAGCGGGCCUGGGUGGGUAGCCGGACACGAUGAAACUGAGAUAAGGAGCAGAGUAAAACAGGAGGAAGAGGAGGAGAAGAUUGUAAAAGGGGGUGAAGCCAGGUGCGACAACGAAACGCGAGGGAUGAACGCCUAGGGGUAGCAAACCGCAUUGGAUUGAGACGAAGCGGGAGUGACGGUAAUGUAUGAAAAAGCACCGGCUAACUACGUG
rnacentral:rRNA from 1 species